rnacentral:rRNA from 1 species
UACGUAGGGUGCAAGCGUUGUCCGGAAUUAUUGGGCGUAAAGAGCUCGUAGGCGGUUUGUCGCGUCUGCUGUGAAAUCCCGAGGCUCAACCUCGGGCGUGCAGUGGGUACGGGCAGACUGGAGUGCGGUAGGGGAGAAUGGAAUUCCUGGUGUAGCGGUGGAAUGCGCAGAUAUCAGGAGGAACACCAAUGGCGAAGGCAGCUCGCUGGGACGGUACUGACGCUGAGACGCGAAAGCGUGGGGAGCGAACAGG